UAACAAGAAGCUCCUUUAUGAGAAGAUGAAGGGAGGACAGAGACGCAAGCGGAGGAGUGUCAAUCCAUAUCUACAAGGACAGAGACUGGACAAUGUUGUUGCAAAGAAGUCAGUCCCCCAUUUUUCAGAUGAAGAUAAGAAAGCAGAGUAAAGUGACGAUGCAGUGUGGAAAUUCAUGUGACCUGCUAGACCGCCUUGUACUGCUUCUGCCCGUGUGUUGUUAGAGCCCCUGUGAAGGGAAGCAUGUUUCUAAUUUAGAUAAGUAUGGACGAAAAGCAAACGUAUUUUGGUAUUGUGUUGUCCUUCAUGCCGAUAGCUCUGCUUUCUGCUAAAUUAGGGUAAGAGCCUUUUUUCCCCUUUAAAUGUGGAUCUGCAGUGAGCAUUAAAAUUGAAGUGUAUGUGUCAACAACAAUAAAAAGCAAAUGAAUGAAAAAAAAAAAA